GCCAACAGCCAUAUCACCCUGCAACUCACAACUGGCCACUGAAGCUAAGCAGGUGUGAGCCUGGUCAGUACCUGGCUGGGAGACCUCCUGGGAAAAACUAAGGUUGCUGCUGGAA
rnacentral:rRNA from 1 species